GUGUUAUUUAGCUGGAGUGAGGUCUCAUGGCUGUUUAUGCGGUGGCUCGCUGCUCAGUACAGGAUGGAGUCUUGCUCUGUCGCCCAGGCUGGAGUGCAAUGGGGCAAUCUCGGCUCACUGCAACAUUUGCCUCCCAGGAACCAUUGGAGAUACUCGUUACUCUUUGAAGGCUUACAGUGGAAUGAAUUCAAAUAUGACUUAUUUGAGGAAUUGAAGUUGACUUUAUGGAGCUGAUAAGAAUCUUCUUGGAAAAAAAAAGACUGGAUAUAUUUUCAAUAUGCUUUCCUUUUAAGGUCCCGCACCUGUGGAAAGUAAAGAAUGUCACUUUCUGACAGGCUCAGGAACCUCAAGUUAUGUAGGGAUCUCAAGAAGAUUGGGGGAAUUCACCCAGUUCAUACAGGUGAAAUUGCUGUUGCAAAGAUUAUGAAUAUGAGAGAAGUCCAGCAUGGCUGACUUCAUCUCAUGUCUGGCCUCAGGCUGGCUGCCCUUGCUCACUGUUGGGCAUAGGCCAAGCUAGCCAUGGGAGGAAUGUAGUUUAUAGUUUAACUUUGAAGCAAGGAUGAUAAUAGUCUCUCCCUAAAAUGAACCCCUUCCUUG
rnacentral:lncRNA from 1 species